ensembl:lncRNA
AAAUAUUGUUCAGCUUUAAACAUUAUUCAGCUUUAAAUAUUGUUCAGCUUUAAACAUUAUUCAGCUUUAAAUAUUGUUCAGCUUUAAACAUUAUUCAGCUUUAAAUAUUGUUCAGCUUUAAAGUUACUGUGCAACUGUGUAAUAAAAAUGUGCUCACGACUUUGGCCUUGAGAGCGAUAAGAAGCGAUCGCCUCAUCCUGCAGGUGAAAGAUAUCUGCAAGCGAAGAGACUAGAACACCCAAGGCCGCUUUCCUUUUAUGGAGUUGUUUUUCUGCUAAUGCAGCACUGUCCUCACAACCCCCUCCUGUGUCCGGUUGUCUUCAUUCUCCGCCAGCCUGGAUCCGCUCCAGGUCAAACUGGAACGGGAGGGAGGACAUCGGCCGUGGUCUGAGUGAACGGAGUUUGGACAAAAGCUGUGUACACACAAAAAACAAGGUAAGCAGACCUUUUAUUUCUGCUAUAUUGAACAUUAUAAAAAUACUUAGUGUCCAAACUCCUAGUAAUUCAUAACCAAAAUUGUCUGGCUUACUUAAGGCUUGUUGAGAAUCAGACAAGUGAAUAAGAGAUAAGUGAAUAAGAAAUAAGUGAAUAAGUGAAUAAAGAUAAGAGUGAACUGAGGUCUGACCACGGUUGCAGCCGACGGGUUUGCUCUCCGGUGUCGGAUACAUACCUCAGCAGGUCUGGGACCUUGAAAGGGUUUAUUAGUAACGCCUUUCUAAACAAAUUAAAAGGUUAAAGGCCUUGAGAAUAUUUUUUAGUAAUAUUCUCUAAACUACAGAAGGGUUAGGAAGGCCCAGAGGACUUUAUUAG